rnacentral:rRNA from 1 species
GAUGAACGAUAGCUACAAGCUUAACACAUGAAAGUCGAGGGCCCGGCGCACGGGUGAGUCACACGUAUCCAACCUGCCCUUUACUCGGGGAUAGACUUUCGAAAGAACGCUUAAUACCCGAUAUAAAGGAUGGGGAUGCGUUACAUUAAGUUGUUGGUGAUGUAAGGUCUCACCACACCUUCGAGGGAUAGGGGUUCUGAGAGGAAGGUACCCGACAUUGGAACUGAGAUACGGUCCAAACUCCUAUGUGAGGCAGUAGGGAGGAAUAUUGGUCAAUGGUCGCUAGCCUGAACCAGCCAAGUAGCGUGAAGGAUGAAGGCUUAGGGGUCGUAAACUUCUUUUAUAUAAGAAUAUGUAUUAUAUGAAGAAGGAUCGGCUAACUCCGUGCCAGCAGCCGCGGUAAUAC